rnacentral:tRNA from 1 species
GUGGGCGUAGCUCAGUUGGUAGAGCCCUGGAUUGUGGUUCCAGUGGUCGCGGGUUCGAGCCCCGUCUUCCACCCCA